UACGUAGGGUGCAAGCGUUUAAUCGGAAUUACUGGGCGUAAAGCGUGCGCAGGCGGUGAUGUAAGACCGAUGUGAAAUCCCCGGGCUUAACCUGGGAACUGCAUUGGUGACUGCAUUGCUAGAGUAUGGCAGAGGGGGGUGGAAUUCCACGUGUAGCAGUGAAAUGCGUAGAGAUGUGGAGGAACGACCGAUGGCGCAAGGCAGCCCCCUGGGCCAAUACUGACGCUCAUGCACGAAAGCGUGGGGAGCAAACGAGG
rnacentral:rRNA from 1 species